rnacentral:rRNA from 1 species
UCUUGGCUCUCGCAUCGAUGAAGAGCGCAGCGAAAUGCGAUACGUGGUGCGAAUUGCAGAAUCCCGUGAACCAUCGAGUUUUUGAACGCAAGUUGCGCCUGAGGCCAGCUGGCCAAGGGCACGUCCGCCUGGGCGUCAAG